CACGUAGGAAAUGGUGGCUUCCCAAUGGCCCUGAGGGAUCAGGGCCAGACACAAUCUUUGGGGUGGCUGCACGUCACUCUCGGGCAGAGGAGAGGGCCUUGCUCCUAGCUGGUGUAUCUAUCGCAUGCCCUAGAGGCCAGGAUUAAUGUGAGUUCUAGCAAGUGACCUGAUAGUAAGGCUGGUGAAGAUUUGGGGUCUCAGUUUUUCUUUUUAGCCUGAGAAAUGGUCCUUAUGAUGAUCGCAUCUGACCCUCUCAUUUUACAGAUUGGGAAACUGAGGCUCAAAGAGGAAAAGCAAUGCGGUGGGAUCCAAACCCAGGUCUCGACUCCUGGCCCUGCAGCUGUGCCUGCAAACUAAAGGAGGAAUGACACACCAAUGGCUGCAGUGGGGCGCAGUGGAGCACAGAGCAAGACCCCUUGCCUGAGAUCAGCAGUUCGCAACAUGUGGCCCCAAGACCUGUGGCGUCAGCAUCCCCUGGGAAUCUGAUUCAACAAGCUCUCCAGGACAGGAACGUCUCAGGACAGGCAGGAGGAUGUCAGGAAAGCAGCAGCAAUGAGCCUUCAUAAUAUUAACACCCUCCUCGCUCUCCCAUCUUGGACCUCAUGCGAAGGGUCACCGCGCAGGACUGAGGUAGACUUCCUGGGGCCGCAAGACGAGCGAGAACCUUUGCACAGAAUGCAGAUAGAUCUGAACUGGGUCUCAACUCAGCUACCCUCGGGCCCAGCU